UCCUACGGAUCACCUCGCCGCGCCGUCCCCGCCGCCGUCUUCCCAAUGGUUCGCCUCUCCACCGCCACGCUCUCCCCGCUCGCCUCGCCUUCUCCUCCCCACUCGUCGUCCACUUCCCGGCUCCACCUCCGCGCGCGCCGCUGCCGCCACCGCCUCGUCGUCGUCCGCCUCCGCGCCCUCCCGGUCCCGGUCACGGACGCGUCGCCCUCCGCCCGCAGCCUCCGCCUCCUCGAGUGGGGCAAGGUCUGCGACGCGGUCGCCUCCUUCGCUGGCACCGCCCACGGCCGGGAGGCCACCAAGGCGCAGCUGUGGGAGGUGGAGGACGUGAGCUAUGAGCAGAGCCGGAGGCUGCUCCAGGAGACCGAGGCGGCGGUGCGGCUGAUUGACAGCGCCGGUGGAGGGAUGGAUUUCUCGGGGUUGGAUACCGUCGCGGUAGAAUCAGCGAUACAUGGUAUCUCUGGAGGUGCUGUGAUAAAAGGUCAGGAAGCAGUGGCCAUUGUUAGCCUGAUGCUCUUUAUUGAAUCAUUGCAAGUAAUUAUCAAAGCUGCUAUGAAGCAAGACGAGGACUCACAUGAACGAUUGAUGACUCUUACAGGAACGAUUCUAGAUGCGGUAAUUAAUAAAUCACUAGUGAAAUCAGUACAGGAUGUAAUAGAUGAUGAUGGCUCCGUGAAAGAUACUGCAAGCCCUGAGCUAAGACGAUAUCGAGAGCAAGUCCAGGUCCUAGAGAGCAGGUUGUAUCAGCUUAUGGACAAGUUAAUGCGAAAUUCUGAGAAUGAAGCUUCCGUGUCGGAGGUAUGCAUUGUAAAUGGAAGAUGCUGCAUAAAAGUAACAGGGGACAAGUCUUCACCUUUUGAUGGAUUACUACUCUCCAGUGGUUCAGAUGCUGGAAGUAUGGUAGAACCAAUUGUUGCUGUUCCACUGAAUGAUGAGCUGCAGGAAGCAAGAGCUCUAGUGGCUAAAGCUGAACUGGAUGCUUUAUCAAAAUUGACUGAUAAGAUUUUACUUGAUCUUGAUAAUAUUCAGAGUUUGCUGCAAGCAACAGUUGAACUUGAUAAGGUUGCAGCUCGUGCAAAAUAUAGUAUAGCAUAUGACGGUACAUAUCCUGACCUCUAUUUACCAAACCUCGUAAAUGGAACAGUCAGUACUGCUACAGGUGGGUCUAUCAGCACAACUUCCUCAGCUCACCUCUCUAAGCAGCAAUGGAAACUGUACAUGCCAAAUGCGUACCAUCCGUUGUUGCUCCAACAGCACCAAGAAAAUCUGCAUCACGCGAAAAAGGAUGUAGCAAGUGCUACAGCAGAAAUCCGGAGGAGGAGGAUAUAUGGACAAGACAUUGUAGAAGAAGAUCAACUGGCAUCAGACCUCGACUUAAUGAAAAUUAAGGUCUCCCAGCUGGAGAAAUACCAUCCAGUACCAGUAGAUUUUUUCAUUGCUGAAGAAACUACUGUAUUGGUUAUAACUGGCCCAAACACAGGGGGCAAAACAAUCAGCUUGAAGACCGUUGGUCUGGCAUCGUUAAUGUCUAAAAUAGGUUUAUACAUUCUAGCUUCUGAACCAGUAAAAAUCCCAUGGUUCAAUGCUGUUUAUGCUGACAUUGGAGAUGAACAGUCUUUGACACAAUCACUCUCCACAUUUUCUGGGCAUCUGAAGCAGAACGGAGCCAUUCGUGCAGAGUCAACUUCACAGUCCUUGGUCCUUUUGGAUGAGGUUGGCGCUGGGACAAAUCCACUUGAAGGUGCUGCUUUGGGGAUGUCUCUUUUGGAAUCUUUUGCUGAAGCUGGUUCCUUUCUUACUCUAGCAACAACUCAUCAUGGAGAACUUAAAACAUUAAAAUAUAGCAAUGAUUCAUUUGAGAAUGCGUGCAUGGAAUUCGAUGAAGACAAUCUAAAGCCCACAUUUCGGAUUCUUUGGGGAAUACCAGGACGUUCAAAUGCAAUCAAUAUUGCUGAAAGACUUGGCUUGCCCUCGGACAUAAUAGAAAGCUCACGACAGUUACUCGGAACAGCUGGUGCAGAGAUAAAUGCGUUGAUACUGGACAUGGAAAACUUCAAGCAACAAUAUCAACAUCAUCUUCAAGAGGCACAGUAUUAUCUUAAGCAAUCCAAGGAGCUUCAUAAUAACCUGGAAGAGGCACAGAAGAACAUUAUAGACCACACUUCUGCUCAAAGAAAAAGAAAGGCGAGAGUAAUUUCAGAGUAUGCCGUUAUGGCUCGUUCUAUUAUACGUAAGAAGUUUCAGCAGUUCCGUGAAUCUGCAAUAGCCAAAAGAGCACUUGAAGAAGAGAAGGCUGUGGAGAACAACAAACCUGAGGGAUUGAAGGGCCCUGAGCCGACGAGCACUCCUGUCGAAAAGGCACAGAACGCAAACAUCAGCAUGGCUGCAACAACUGGAGAUGAAGAUGGUGGGGUUCCAGAAGUUGGAGAUUUAGUUUAUGUUCCUAAGCUCAGGAACGAAGCUACUGUUGUAAAAAUAGACUCGUCGAAAAACGAAGUGCAAGUCCAAGCUGGUAUAAUGAAGCUCAAACUAAAACUCAAAGAUGUCAAGAUUCAGAAGAGGAUCUCCAGAUAGAACGGCUGCGCUACCUACCACCUGCAUUCGCAGAGAUAAGUAAACUGCUGAACUGUCAUUCUGUCAACCGGUGGGAGGAAAAGAACUACUUACGGAGGAUCACUGGAUCUUUGCUGCCCAGUCUGAUAAGCAGAUCUCGUAGUGAGCAGCGUCCUUUCCAGUUAAGAUGAAUCAUCAUAUGAGAUGACUAGUGCGAGCAGUUUGAUGCCUAUGUUGUGAACACGAACAAGAUGGCACCUAUGGCUGCAUGACAUGCCCACCAUCACUAUGAAUAAUCAAGAACACAGGAAGCUUGGUACUACUACUGGAGCCACAAAACCUCUAGGCUGAUAUCAAAGAAGAGCGAACCUUGAGCAGAGCUUUGAACUUUUGGCGUCGCAGCACGCUCUUGCGUUUGGAGGGGUCAACAAAAGUAGCUACUCGCAAUUUGUAGAAACUCUCUGGAGACAGUAGACAUUUGCUUUAGCCGAUAAGCCGGCUCCAGCACAAACAUACUACAUGUGAAGCCCCGACUUUUAUAUGUUCAUGAAAAGGCAGAGUUUUUUCUCCGGCCUGCACUUACAUAAUUUCAUCUUUUCUCAUGAAAUGUAUAAUCUGCUGUCGGUUUCGUAUGCCA